AGGUAACGUGGGCUUGUAACCAAGUGGGGUAUUAAAGUGGUUGAAUGGUGCCUUGAACAAAGGCUCAGCCAAUCAGGUCUUGGGCCGCCAUCUCCUCACUCCCAAACCCCAGCCCACCACGGACUGGAAAGCACCUGAAAUACCAAAAUGUGAAUUUCCAUUGGAGUCAAAUGGGAGGGCUCCGGAUCACUGAUCCUGUAGGGAGACAUCCACCAAACAGCCACUUUUUGUUUUUUUGUUUUUAAUUAUUUUGGGCCUCUUGGCAAUUUUAUUGAACUAUAUGUACUUCGUACCUAAUCAUAUCAAACAUAUUUUGUUUUUAUAUGGACCAAGUGUUUUUUAU
rnacentral:lncRNA from 1 species